rnacentral:rRNA from 1 species
UAAUACGGAGGGGGCUAGCGUUGUUCGGAAUCACUGGGCGUAAAGCGCGCGUAGGCGGAUCAAAAAGUUAGAUGUGAAAUCCCUAGGCUUAACUUAGGAACUGCAUUUAAAACUAGUGAUCUAGAAUUUGGUAGAGGAUAAUAGAAUUUCCAGUGUAGAGGUGAAAUUCGUAGAUAUUGGAAAGAAUACCAGUGGCGAAGGCGACUAUCUGGACCAAUUUUGACGCUGAGGUGCGAAAGCGUGGGUAGCAAACAGGAUUAGAUACCCUGGUAGUCCACGCAGUAAACGAUGAGUGCUAGUCGUCGGGUCUUUUGAUUCGGUGUCGUAGCUAACGCAUUAAGCACUCCGCCUGGGAAGUACGGUCGCAAGAUUA